GGGAUUGCCUCAGUAACGGCGAGUGAAGCGGCAACAGCUCAAAUUUGAAAUCUGGCCCCGUCGGGGUCCGAGUUGUAAUUUGUAGAGAGUGUUUCGGGUGAGACCACGGUCUAAGUCUAUUGGAACAUGGCGUCAUAGAGGGUGAGAAUCCCGUAUGUGACCGUGGCUCGAGCCCAUGUGAAGCCUCUUCGACGAGUCGAGUUGUUUGGGAAUGCAGCUCAAAAUGGGUGGUAAAUUUCAUCUAAAGCUAAAUACUGGCUGGAGACCGAUAGCGCACAAGUAGAGUGAUCGAAAGAUGAAAAGCACUUUGGAAAGAGAGUCAAAAAGUACGUGAAAUUGUUGAAAGGGAAGCGCUUGCAACCAGACCUGUCCGUAGGUGAUCAGCCGCUGUUCUCAGCGGUGCACUCGCUCUGCGAUCAGGCCAGCAUCGGUUCCGGCGGUCGGAUAAAGGCCUUGGGAAUGUAGCUCCCUUCGGGGAGUAUUAUAGCCCUCGGUGCAAUGCGGCCAGCUGGGACCGAGGACCGCGCUUCGGCUAGGAUGCUGGCGUAAUGGUUGUAAGCGACCCGUCUUGAAACACGGACCAAGGAGUCUACCAUCUAUGCGAGUGUUUGGGUGUUAAACCCAUGCGCGGAAUGAAAGUGAACGGAGGUGAGAACCCUUUAGGGCGCAUCAUCGACCGAUCCAGAUGUCUUCGGAUGGAUUUGAGUAUGAGCAUAGCUGGUGGGACCCGAAAGAUGGUGAACUAUGCCUGAAUAGGGUGAAGCCAGAGGAAACUCUGGUGGAGGCUCGCAGCGGUUCCGACGUGCAAAUCGAUCGUCAAAUUUGGG
rnacentral:rRNA from 1 species